AAAUAGAUCAUACUCAUGAAUGCCCCCGUAUUUAGAAUCAGCAAGGCCAUACCAUAAAAUAGUAAUGCACCUCCCCUCACCUACCACAGACUUUUAUGGACUUAAGCAAAUAUCCCCAUACCUGCAGCCUCUUUGGCAAAAAGAGUAGAAAUAAAUGAAUAAUUUUCUUUUUUUUUGCAAGUAACAUCAUAAGGAUAGCCUGAGAUUAAGUGAGAGGCUUUAAUUAUUCAGAGAGGACUAAAACUUGAAGCAAGAAAUACCUGGAAAAAUAUUGUAGAUUUCUCGAAAAAAAUCAGCCGUACUGAGAAAUUAUUAAUUGGGAAUGUUAAAUUUCCUACAAUCCUUUCUCACUUCUAACUAGUAUAAAGAAAAUGAAGAGGGAGAAUAGUGAGUUGGGGUGCUUGGAAAGGAAAGUUGUUAUUUAUAUUUAGUAUAUGUAUUUCAAUGAACUCCACUAAGUUGAAAUCAUUAAAUCAGC
rnacentral:lncRNA from 10 species